AAGACUAUACUUUCAGGGAUCAUUUCUAUAGUUCGUUACUAGAGAAGUUUCUCUGAUCAUGAAGAUAUGCAUUUAGAGGGUGACACAAGCAUUGAAUCUGCAGCGAAGAAUGUCAUUUGUCUCUCAUGGGCUGGAAAUGAAAGAAAGGUUGAGAACCAUCCAUUUAAAAGGGGAUGGAUCUGAUAGAG
rnacentral:snoRNA from 1 species